rnacentral:rRNA from 1 species
UACGGGAGGCAGCAGUGGGGAAUAUUGCACAAUGGGCGAAAGCCUGAUGCAGCUAUGCCGCGUGUAUGAAGAAGGCCUUAGGGUUGUAAAGUACUUUCAUCGGGGAGGAAAAAACAAAACUAAUAAUUUUAUUUCUUGACGUUACCCGAAAAAGAAGCACCGGCUAACUCCGUGCCAGCAGCCGCGGUAAUACGGAGGGUGCUAGCGUUAAUCAGAAUUACUGGGCGUAAAGAGCACGUAGGUGGUUUUUUUAAGUCAGAUGUGAAAUCCCUGGGCUUAACCUAGGAACUGCAUUUUGAAACUGAAAUACUAGAGUAUCGUAGAGGGAGGUAGAAUUCUAGGUGUAGCGGUGAAAUGCGUAGAUAUCUGGAGGAAUACCUGUGGCGAAAGCGGCCUCCUAAACGAAUACUGACACUGAGGUGCGAAAGGCGUGGGGAGCGAAACAGGGAUUAGAUACCCGU